UACGUAGGGUGCAAGCGUUAAUCGGAAUUACUGGGCGUAAAGCGUGCGCAGGCGGUUGUGCAAGACAGAUGUGAAAUCCCCGGGCUUAACCUGGGAACUGCAUUUGUGACUGCAUAGCUAGAGUGCGGCAGAGGGGGAUGGAAUUCCGCGUGUAGCAGUGAAAUGCGUAGAUAUGCGGGGGAACACCGAUGGCGAAGGCAAUCCCCUGGGCCUGCACUGACGCUCAUGCACGAAAGCGUGGGGAGCAAACAGG
rnacentral:rRNA from 1 species